GAUGAACGCUGGCGGCGUGCCUAAUACAUGCAAGUCGAGCGAACAGACGAGGAGCUUGCUCCUUUGACGUUAGCGGCGGACGGGUGAGUAACACGUAGGUAACCUACCUAUAAGACUGGGAUAACUUCGGGAAACCGGAGCUAAUACCGGAUAAUAUUUCGAACCGCAUGGUUCGAUAGUGAAAGAUGGCUUUGCUAUCUCUUAUAGAUGGACCUGCGCUGUAUUAGCUAGUUGGUAAGGUAACGGCUUACCAAGGCAACGAUACGUAGCCGACCUGAGAGGGUGAGCGGACACACUGGAACUGAGACACGGUCAAGACUACUACGGGAGGCAGCAGUAGGGAAUAUGCCGCAAUGGGCGAAAGCAUGACGGAGCAACGCCGCGUGAGUGAUGAAGGUCUUCGGAUCGUAAAACUCUGUUAUUAGGGAAGAAAAAACGUGUAAGUAAAUGUGCACGUAUUGACGGUAACUAAUCAGAAAGCAACGGCUAACUACGUG
rnacentral:rRNA from 1 species